rnacentral:lncRNA from 1 species
GAAAAUUUUAGUAAAUUAUAGUCAAUUUUUAUGCAAUGAAACUAUAUAGCUCUUUUUGUUAGAAAUUGUCUUACUAACUAAGCUGCUGGUGGUUCUGUGACGAAGUAGCUCCUGUUGGCUUCCCUUACACCGGGUCAGACACAGGACAUUAAUUAAGGCUGUGUGUGGUGUUUCUGAAAGGUGAGGAGACUGGGCAUUCUGUCUUUUACUCUACAGAUACAUCGUGGGAGACUCAAAGAUUAAAAUGUGGCCACUCACUGUGGAUCAGAAGCAGAAUCUCACAUCAUAACCCCAAAUGACCUGUUACUCACCAUGUGGCCCAGCUGUCUUCAAACUCACCAGCCUCCUGCCUUAGCCUUCUAAAUGCUUGGAUUACAGGCAUGACCCACCAUAACUGGCUUUGUUUUAGUUUCAGAGAAGAUGAAACUGAUGUGCGUCAAAAAGCUGGUAGUCUGUCAAGGAAAUGAGCUGAACAUGUCUGUGUACAGCUUUUGUGCCAUCCCUGGAUGAGCGAGCUGUCUGCCUCUAUGUUCUCCACAAAAUGGAAUAUAGCUGUACACCCAAGCCAAGUUAUGGAGGCUGGGAAGACCUAGAAUGUGGCAUCACUAUUUGGUUAUUUAGAAAAUUGUUACCUCAAAAAUGACCUAGGGGUCCUUAGAAUAAUAACACACAGAAGAAUAGCCUCAUUUUUCUGUUGGGCCCAGGAAACCAUGCCGAUUACCGACCGAGCUCUCAAUGGAAAAAUGCAGUCGGCGUGAACCACGCACGAACACAGCAGAGAAAGAAGAAAACACACACCACGAGGAACCCUAAUAGGACAAUACAUUAUAAGUCACAGUGCUACGGAGAAACCCAGUAGCCACAUGGAAGCAGAGACCAUGCAUAUGCAUCUACUCCGCAGCUCUGUGAAUGUCAGCAGCUCCCACGGACUGGAGAUCCCGUGAGAUCCCGUGAGAUCUCACCCAUAGCCUCAUGGUACAUCCACUUGGUGUGCUGGGAGAGUCAGGAUGAGGACCUGAGAAGAACAGCAGCUUGAACCUGACUUCAUUUAACAGCCCACUGCCCUCUUGCCAAGAACCCAUCACAGACCUUCCCAGAAGAGAGGGAUGAGCCUCACCUAUGAAUAAGUCCUCAGAAACUCAAAUUUGAUUCUAAUGGAUUGUUUUCUCAGAAAGACUGAGCAUGUCCCCCCACAUCUCUGUCAUUUCCCACAGUAGUAACCUCUGCAGAUGCCACAUAGAAAACAAAACAAAACAAAAAAACAUGAGGUUGGUGGGCAGAUAGGCAGGGUAUAAACAAACAGCCUUGUAACCCAGAAGCUGUGUGAUAUACAGUAAACUUCACAACACUGAAAAGAUGUCCUAUCUGUUAAAAUGGGGUAAUAACAACUACCCGAAUGUUUAGGAAUAGAACUUCAAUAAAUGAUACAUUUUAUAGUACAGCAGACCAUCCUGUAAAGGUUUCAUCCUUCACUGUGGUGAUAAAUAUCCCAAACCACAUUGAAAAGCAUUGCAUCUACAUUUAUCUACACUGUAACUGUACUGUAAAUCAUGGGGGAGGGGAGAAUCAUAAAAACACCACCUGUCACCGUGUCAUUAAAGCAAGUUGGAAGUGAUACUUACAGAAACACAGCAAGAGCACCCCCAGUCACACAGUUCAAUCUCUUAGCAAGCGUUUUCUUUCUAGCCCAGUGGUUCUCAGUUUGGAAUUUUUGGCACUGCCUAGAGAUAGUUUUGUUGUUAAAACUGAGAAAAGAGCCGGGCGUGGUGGCACACGCCUUUAAUCCCAGCACUCAGGAGGCAGAGGCAGG